rnacentral:lncRNA from 1 species
UUUCUUUCUUUCACGCUGCGAGCCCGGUACGUCCUAGUCACGAACGGCACACGCGUUAUCAACAUGACAUAGCAUUCUCGACAGGAAAGUAACGAGCGCCGAGUUUUCAGGAAAGGAAACGCAAGCA